UGAGAGUGAGGAGUCACGUGCCGAUUUGGGCGGGGUCUGAGCCUGUCGGCCAUGACGGUAGGAGACGCUAUCGGUUGCCAGGGGCAACUUCAGAGAGGCGCGACUUACAGAGCUCUUUAAUAAUUUAUUAUUUCGGCAGGACAGAGACGAUCUACAAAUACAAGAAAGAAAAGGAAUAAGGAAUGCAAAAAGAUUAGGCGAAAGAAAGGGACCUUACAGGAACAAUCUCACAAACAGCGUUGUACUGGCAAAGGUUUGGAAAUGCGUUACCCAGGAGUCAUGAAAGUUAUCUAGUACAGGAAAGUCAAUCACCUUAUCUUCUAAAAGAUGCUCUGGUGACCAGACUUACAGGGAUCUUGAGCGCACAAACCAGUAAAGAAGUGGCUAAAAGGAUCGUUAUGAUGUCGGAUGCCAGAUCCACCUAAACUUUCAUCUAGAGCAGUGUUCACAAAUCCUGGUCCUUGAGUCCCCCUCCUAGAAAGUUUUAUAUGACUCCUUAUUUAAAACACUUGAUUCAACUCAUCAGCUUGUUAGGGAGACCUGUUAUCCAUUCUGGAAGGAGGCUGUUGAGGUGUUUUAAAUAAGGAGACAUCUAAAACUUUCUGGAAGGGGGUACUUGAGGACCAGGAUUGGGAAGGACUGAUCAUGACGAAGAUGGAAAGAUCCUAUUUCAUCAAAGCUAAAGAAGCAGGAGACUUGACACAAGCACAAGCUCACUCCAGACAUGGUUUCUGGCUUCCAGGUCUGACGUAACAUUAUAUACAAAAUCAUUAAUUGUAUCUAUAGAGCUUAGUGGUAAAGCAUUGCAUUAGCAGUGCAAAAGGUCAAGCGUUCGAACCCAGGGAACACACAUGGUGAUAAAAAUGUACACCUUAUAAUGCACCAGAGGCCAUUUUGGAUAAGCAUCCGCCAAAUGAAUAAAUGUAACUAGUUAAAGCCAGAUAAUUUCAGUCCUAACCUGUUGUUGUCACAUCAAGUUUAGAAGCCUUUGGCAGAUGCUUUAAUUCAAAGUAACUUUGUGUUUUCAAUCCAUACAUUUUUCUUGGGAAUUGAGCCCUCUCCCAUCAGAGCUAUGGGAACACACAAUUCUGGUCUGAUUGGCCGUCACCCCUUUACAGUUAAUGAUGAGAAUUCCUUCACAAAGACCAUUAAAGAUCACAUAACACACACGGUUUCUGCCACUCUCAUGUUAAUCUUGGUUAUCUAUAGAGUAGUAUUUCAUCCUUCAUAUUUCCAAAGAGUCUUUCGUGUUGUCAGAUUCAUAAAAGACAGAACACCUUUUUCCGUGUUUUUUUUUUCCGGAAAAGAUGAUCUCUUGAAGGUGUACAGUGGGCGGAGCUAAAGAGUUACGAGUACACAGCCUUUGAAUUCUAAUCCAACAAUUGAUACAUCAAAGUAAAUAAAACUUAAAUAAAAAAUGUUUUUUACAUAACCUUGGCUUACAGUCAGAUACAGCCGUACAUAUAUGAUCCAGAAUCAGAUACUGAGUCGGUAAUUUAUCAACAGAAACAAAAGCAGCAACUAUUGUUUGGCCCAGAAAUACUCUUGUCACAUGCUCAAUGGCUUUUUUGACAUUAUGCAUUAGUUUAGCAUGAGGAUUACAACUUUUAAACAGUGUUAAUAAGUCAGAAUGGAUAAAAUAGCAUUAAACCCCUCCUUUAAGGACACUAUCUGGAAUGACCUCUCAAAAAGAUACCAGGUGUUCAGCGUAAUCAUAUUCUCACUUGUUUUUAAAUUAGGAUUAUUUAGGGACUCAUACUAUGUUUUUACGUAGUCUUACUUGCAGGUUGACAGCGUCAGACAGUUUUUGGAGGAGGGCACAGUGUUGGAUCCCAGAUUCAAGUGAAAAGUGUCCGAUGAAGUGUUGAACAGACUGGAGGAGUUGCUGAUAUAAAUGAACAGGCUCAGGGCCAGCAGAUGAAUCAGGGGCUCAAAGAGAGAGCAGAUGACCAAGAUGACCGCUUAUCUGAUGAAGACAUGUGUGCAUCUGCCAGUGAAACAGUGAAGAGGCCAAAGCUUUCUGCCCUCGAGGAGCUGUUUGGUGUAGAGGACAUGAAAAUAAAUCCUCAGCGAGUCCAGUAACCCUGGUGGUGUGACAUGAAGGACACUGCCAAUGCUUUUUUGAUUUGGCUUCAGGGUAUCUCUGUGUAUUGUUUCAUAAAACAUCAUAAGGUGGAAACUGUUGGACAGUUAGGACAGGCUAUGAAUUCUGGGUUGGCAAAGAGAAAGGAGACAUAAGCCUGCCCCCAAUCCAAAUUUAAGCUUUGAUUUUAGAUCUGAAGUCUAGUAUUUGUUGCUGGCUGGAUUCAUGUUGUUAAUGUGCAGUUAAUGCAUAUACUAUAUAUGUGCAUUAACAUAUAUAUAUAUAUAUAUUAUGUGAAUAAAUGUAUACCACAUUGUUUGUAAAAUCUGAUUUCAGUGCCCACUGAUUUAUUGGGGGAGUGUGAUGAAAAUGUCUGUCAAUUUAAAUUAUUUACAUAAGCUGUGUGUUAAAUGUUUUUUUAUUUGUGGAAAAUGUGUGUACACAGUAUGUGAAAUAUACUAGAGGGGAUUUUACAUACAUUUUAAAAUAGAUUUACAUAUAACAGCAAAAUAAUAUGUAGACAAGUACUAGAAAUAAAUAUAUAUGGUCAGAUAUUGCAAUAUAAAACCAUAUAUUUACAUAGAAGGUUAUCUACAUGUAUUUUAAUAUAAAAGUAAUGAAUAGAUGUAAAAAUUAUUAUUAUAAUAUAU